rnacentral:lncRNA from 1 species
CUUUCUAUGCUCGCACGCAGCGCGGAGCAUGGCGUCCCCGGGAGCUGGGGCAUGGGAGGCGGUUGUGGCGUGGGAUCUAGGGUGUCUGCAGCGGACUCGGCGGCCGUGUGAGGCGCUCGGCCCGCCGGACCCCGCCUGAAGCGGGUCGGUGUGGAAACCGAGCGCCGUUUGGAUGUAGAUCUUCGCCGUAGGCCCAGAACUGGGCGGGAAUAAAGCGAAGACCCAGGUGAGUACCUGAAGCUUACGGAUAUUUCCUGAACGACACGUGGGAGCACAGAGUGGGUUAAAGGGUGUCCUUGAUGAUUUGGAAAUUUGAUCUACAGAAGCACGAGUGAUUUAAAUUUUCUAGGGGCCGUGUCAAAACUCCAUAGAUGAAUGCUCAUUUGUAACAAGACUAUGAAUAAAUGCUUCGAUGUGCUGUUCUGA